GAGACUCUGGAAGAGAAACCCAUUCCCCGGACCUGAAACGCCGACAACCUGAAGUUGUAUCACCAAUGAACUUUGUACUUGUUCAUUCGGAAUACAAAUCCAGUUUGAAAUUUCGGAGUUUUAACUCUUCGACUGACGAUCGACACUCACCAAGAAGGUCGAGUCCCGACGUCCCGACUCGGACUUGGUAUCCACGUGAAACCGACGGCCCGACCGCCGACGACGUAUCGGGCGCUCACAAGAGCCAUCCACGGCGACGGGAGUUGACACUCCUUCUACGGUCGAACUUUCGAGCCAGACCAUCG
rnacentral:lncRNA from 1 species